UUGGCCGCUGUGUUCACAUGCUCUUCACCCUGCUCCUGCCCACUCUGCUUUUCACCUGCCCCCUGAUAACCCAUUCAGUCCUGAAAGAUCCUUAGUGUCUCGAUUUCAUCAUCCAGCCCUGCAGGAUGCUCCCAUUUCUCCUGAGGAUGGCUGUCCCAGACAGAGAGGAGGAGAUGGAGGUAGAUACAAAGAUUGAUAUGGAGGAGGAGAUGGAAAUGGAUGGAGAAGACCCUGGAGAGGAAGAGAUGGACGUGUAUGUGGAUGAGGAAGAAGAGAUGGAUGUGGAUAUGGAAGAGUCCAUUGAGGACAUGGACAUUGAUUAAAAAGGUGCGAUGGACAUCAUGGAGGGAGAUGCCACCUUUUUCUACAUACGGUUUACACUUUGAUGUUGUCUUUAGGAUAUAGCUUUUAUGGUGUUUGUCUUCUAUAAAUACGUUUCAUAUAUUUUUUGUUAGAUAGGUUUUUCUGUAUAUAUGUUCUAUCAAUUGUUGUUGUUACAAAUAUUCUUGCAAUGUAAAUAUAUUCUGUAUUU